UCCUAGUUUCCUAGGCAGUUCCAUCAGAGUGCCCCAAAAGGGUAGCAACUGACGGCAGGGGUUGCGCUCGUUAAAGGACUUAACCCAACAUCUCACGACACGAGCUGACGACAGCCAUGCAGCACCUGUUCACUUGUCCAAGCUUUCGCUUGAAAAUCCAUAUUUCUAUGGAGGUCAAGUGUAUGUCAAGCCCAGGUAAGGUUUCUCGCGUAGUAUCGAAUUAAACCACAUGUUCCACCGCUUGUGCGGACCCCCGUCAAUUUCUUUGAGUUUUAAUCUUGCGACCGUACUCCCCAGGCGGACCACUUAACGCGUUAGCUACGACACUGAUUUCGCAGAGCGAAACCAACGUCUAGUGGUCAUCGUUUACAGCGUGGACUAC
rnacentral:misc_RNA from 1 species